rnacentral:ncRNA from 1 species
AACUUUAUCUGCCGGAGAUAAAUUUUUGUAAUUUCUUGUCUUUAUGUAAAAUUUGUUCAGAGACAAAAGUUCAUAAAUAUUUAUAGUUGACGAAAGAAUUAUUUACUCUUUAAAAUUAAUGUGCCAGCAUAAGCGGUAAUACAUUUAGGAAAAAAAUUUCAAAAGAAGAGAAUUUCAAAGAAAGAAAAAUUAAUAAAAAUUAAUGGUAGAAUAAUUUAGUUUAUUAAUAUUAGUAAAUAUUUGGUUUUCCACCGGAAAAACUUUAUUAAAAAUUUAUCAACCCACUGAAAAACUAGGAUUAGAUACCCUACUAUUAGAGGACCAACCAACUUCAACAGAGUAGUUGAUAAAGCUUGAAAAGGAGGCAGAAUGGCGGCAAUAAACCCGAUCAGAGAUGCAUGUUUGAACAGCGAAAACACACGGCAAAUCCAUCUCAACCUAUGUUCUUUGUCCACUGCCGUCUGAAGGAAGAUUUUGACAAAUCGUUCUUUUCCUGGAGUAAAUAUUCAUGAUUAUUUACUUAUAAAAUCCGUUGAAAAAGAUUUUAUAGAGAGGGGUAAGUCAGGUAAAGGUGCAGGAUAUGGAAGAGAAAAAAUGUGCUUCAUUACUAUUCUUACUUACUUUAAUUUGAAAUAUUAAAAGAAGAAGAAUUUGAUAGUAAGAUAAAAAAAUAAAAUUUAUCUGAAUAGGCUCUUUAUUGUGUACAAAUCGCCCGUCACUCCGUAAAAGGAUAAGUCGUAACAAAGUUAGUCUACCGGAAGGUGGACUAAGAGUUUA